AAGUCGUAACAAGGUUUCCGUAGGUGAACCUGCGGAAGGAUCAUUAACACGUAUCCACGUAUCAACCCCUUUGUGCUUUUUUACGUUUUGACGUACCCUGUCUUGAAGGUGAACCCUGAGGUCUUGUGAGAACGCUGAAUGGUGUCGGGGGUCGCCCUUUUGUGCUUCGGCGCGAGGGGGGGAUGUCUGACUUGUUUUCACGGGACUGUUGCAACCCUUUAUUGGGCGGCAUCGGGCUCCUUUCUACCGUACAGGUCUUUUUAGAUGCUUGCCAUUCAACAUCGACCUUUUACACUAUAAACCCUUUGAAAACAUCUUGCUAAUUAUAAUUUUGGAUGGUGUAGUGGUUCGAUUCACUUCGAACUUGCUUAUCUAUGCAAAUAUUACGAAAUGCUUGACAACUCUUAGCAACGGAUAUCUUGGUUCUC
rnacentral:misc_RNA from 1 species